UUAAUUGAAACCAAAAAGAGGUAUGUCACUGUUAAUGACAACAUUGAACGAAGUUCCAAUUAAA
rnacentral:tRNA from 1 species